GUUUGUAGGAGUCAAUGAAACGCAAGGCUGUGGGAAUUUGGAAAUGUGGCAGAUGUUCUAAAACAGUAGCUGGUGGCGCUUGGGUUUAUUCAACAACUGCUGCUGCUCAAGUACGUAGUGCCAUUCGUCGUCUUAGAGAAUUGAAAGAGAUCUAAAAUAAAGUUUU
rnacentral:sRNA from 1 species